ensembl:lncRNA novel transcript
ACAAGUCCCGGAGGCACAGAAAGGGCAACCAUUCUAAAUCCUUGGUAAGGGCUCCGUGCAGUAGUUAACCCCCCAAAUCCGACUAAGGAGAGCAGGACGGCGGAACCCGGGUGCCCUAAUCAAAUAUGGGCACCAAGGAAGGAAAAAAGCGUCCGCAUCUGCUCGCUGGUCACCGCCGACGACAGAUUCGUCACCUGAAUCACCGACGUGGGGGUGAGGCCGAAGCCUAAGCCCAAACCGAAGCCGCCGCCGCUGUUCAUCCCGAUCCCGCUGCCGUUGCCUUCCCGCUCCCCAACGUCUACGACGCGUCAGCGACGGAGCCGGGAAAGCGGAGAACGCGCGGCCGCGAGCGCGCUCCCGCUGGCGAAUUCACAGCGCCGGGCAGAUCUAGCCGCCCAUUUCACAACUCCCCUGCUCCCGGGGCUGCGCGCGCCAGCCGGAAGCGUCGCCCCGGCAACCCGGCGGUUCUCGCGCGGCUGCG